UUUCCCACGAAAAUGUGAAUUCGACGUAUUUGAGAUGACAUGGUAGCUAGGCGGUCAAAAAAAAUUGUGACCAUUUAUUUUCGGUUGCAAAUUGGUAAGAAAAAUAAUAAUUUAUAAAAUAACGUGGCUAAAUAAAAAGGUGUGGUGGAAUUGCCACCGUAUUAGCGACCAAUGAAAUUUAAGCGGCUUUAUUUCAAUUUUUUUUUUUUUUUUUUUACUCUGGUGCGCCAUAUGUUAUCCAUGUUUCACAUAACCUCUUGAUAUCUCCUGUACACCUCUCCACUAAUUAGGGUUUUAAUCACCUCUAGAUAUCUCCAGACUCCAGUACACCAUUCCAGGUCUAAAUCAAAAAACAUAGCCAUCACUCCAUCCGCCCACAUAUUAGGGUUUUGCUACUUCACCACUCGAAGGUAUAAUUCUUGAUUAGGGUUUUGCUACUUCCCCAUUCCAAGCGACUCUUAAUCCAUUCAAGCAACGGUAAUGAGUAACCAAUACGCAAGCAGGCAACAAAUUUGAUUUUUCAGAACGUUAUUUUUAUUUGGAGGAAGAAAAUGGCUUUGACUGUGAUGAUUAUUAGGCUUCAGUCUUAUUGAGAUGAUGUCAAACAGCUUCAGUUACGCUAUGCAACAUCACUUAUUGGAGGUCCAUCGACUCCAGCUACUUUUGUGGAUUUAUAUGCUAUUUUGAGCCCACCUUUCCUGGAAUUUAUGACAAAGAGAGGCAGGGGCGUAGCUUAGUGUAAAGUGGGGGAUGCACCCGCCCGCCAGUGUUUCGGUUAGAAAUGUAAAAUUUCCUAUUUUUCGUCCAAAAUUUUUAAAAUUAAAUAGGAUUGUCUCCCCAAUUAUUUUGCCUAAAUAUUUAUACAAUAUAUAAAUUGGGUCCCAUGACUUUCCGCCCCCUCGGAACUUUUGGUCAAGCUCCACCACUGAAGAGAGGUGUCUACACUCUUUUCUAUCCGGGGCUGCAUUUGCUUUUCCAAUUCCCUCUCGGUAUUCCGACUGUUGCCAUAAUGGGGAAGAUAAUUUCACGCCGACAAAUUGAUGAAACUACUAUAGAUCCGCUGGAACUACUAAAAAAUUUAAAAGGGUGGACUGUUAAGAAAUAUAAGUGUACAGAAACAAAUGGAAGAUAUAGAGUUGACAAGACUUAUCGACAUCCAAAGUCAAAAAAGUGGCUGAGGUCACUCUGCAAAGUAAGAGAGUUCAUACUGGAUAGUUCGUAUACAGGAAAAGCAUCGGAUAAUGGUGAAGGAGGCUCACAGCUUGUCAAAAUUACGGGAUUUUUUGGAUUGAAAUUUGGUGAAUUUGGAGUCAUGAGCAUAGGGGAUUUCCACAACCUUCAAUUUUCCAAACUUAAAUUACCAUGAGCAAGCUAAUGAAUUUGAUAAACUCGUUAUACAAACUAGAAGUGUAUAACUAAGAUUAGAUUGAAAAGGUAAACUUGAUUAUCAAGGAGCUCGUUGAGGGAAAGGAUGGAGAAGAAGAAAAGUUGAAUAGAAUUAUUGCGGGGCCGUCGGCUGAAAAAGAAAAAGAUAAGGUGGAUAAAUAUACUAUGCUCAAUAGGAUAUUACAAGUUGAAGCUAUGUUAACAGCUAUUGUUCUUAGAUAUGUUAUAAACACUUGGUUUUGAAUGUUUCGGUGUUUAUCAUAUUAGGAUAAUUCCAGUGAUUUAACAUUUUAGUUGGUAUUUAUUAUUAAGUUGUUUUAUAUGA